AGUGGAAUUAUUAGGUCAUAUGGUAAGUAUAUGCUUAAUUUUAUAAGAACUUGUUAAACUAUUUUCCAAACUGGCUGUACCAUUUGACAUUCCCACCAGCAAU
rnacentral:pre_miRNA from 1 species